GACGAACGCUGGCGGCGUGCCUAAUACAUGCAAGUCGAACGCAGUGGGGACGGGUGAGUAACACGUGGGUAACCUCCCAUCAGAGGGGAUAACACUUGGAAAAAGGUGCUAAAACGAUACUGAUGGAUGGACCAGCGGUGCAUUAGCUAGUUGGUGAGGUAACGGCUCACCAAGGCCACGAUGCAUAGCCGACCUUGUAGGUGUAUCGGCCACACUGGGACUGGUACCCGGCCCGGACUCCUCCGGUAGGCAGCAGUAGGGAGUCUUCGGCAAUGGACGAAAGUCUGCCCGAGCAACGCCGCGGAAGUGAAGAAGGUUUUCGGAUCGUAAACCUCUGUUGUUAGAGAAGCGGUAUCUAACCAGAAAGCCACGGCUAACUACGUGCCAGCAGCCGCGGUAAUAC
rnacentral:rRNA from 1 species